rnacentral:lncRNA from 1 species
UGGAAGAAGCUACAUGAGAAGCUGAGGAAGAUAAGAAAUCCUAAUUCCCAUUCUUGUUCCCCAUGUAGUAUGAAAGUGCUUGAGGUAUGAGUUUCAUUCUCUUCUAAAUUUUUCAUUUGAUUCUGAUGUAUUUUCGUAUGAUCGUGCUAAAAAUGACCUACCUUAUCAUUCGGGGAUAAAUGAUAAAAAAAUAGGAGAUAAUGUGAGACUCCACAAAAUUUUGAUCAUUCUAUAGCUGACCC